UUGACUGUAACAUGCCUAUUGAGAUUCUUUCUAUCGAGGAAUGUGAAAACCUUAAAUCCAUUCCGGAGGGCUUACACACUCUUUGCAAACUACGUCGUAUGAGUAUCAGUAAGUGCCCCAGUCUUGUUUCGUUUCCAGAAGAUGGGCUUCCUGACACUGAUUCAGAAGUACAUAUCUUUGGGUGUGAGAAGCUACAAGCCCUACCUAGCCGCAUGCACUCCCUGAAAUCUCUUCAGGAGCUAUCCUUAUUGCAAUGUCCUAAUAUCGAAUCCAUUACAGCAGAAGAUUUCCCCUCCAACCUAAAAUCACUUACACUUCCUCUCAGCAUCUACAAGCCACUGACUGAGUGUGGUUGGCACAAACUUACAUCUCUUACCAGUCUCAGAAUUUGGGGAUUACCUGAUGCAAUAUCUUUCCCAGAAGAGAAGAUUAUAGAAAUAAAGUAUCCCAUCUCUCUAAUUAAUCUGAGCAUUGUUCGUUUCCCGAAAUUGAAAUACCUAUGUUCCAAAAAUUUCCGAGUUCUUAGAUCUCUUAAAUUUUUGACUUUCAAUGAUUGCCCAAAUCUCACAUCCUUUCCAGACCUUCCGUCCUCACUUUUGCGGCUACAUAUUUAUAGAUGUCAUUUAAUACAAAAUCAGUGCAAAAGGAAUGAAGGCCGAGAAUGGUCCAAGAUAGUUCACAUCCCUUGCGUUAAGAUAAAUGGAAAAUUCAUCUACACUCUGGAAGAGGAAAUGAGCUGAAUCCGAUACUAAUUCCUUCCAUCAUUGUAAUCAAUUUAGGGAGAAACUGAACAGUGACUCUUGGAUGCAAAAUGCCAACAUUGCAAUUGCACUGCUCAAUGAAGAAAGAGGCUAACAACAGAGCUCACAACAAUACAAG